UACGUAGGGGGCAAGCGUUGUCCGGAAUCAUUGGGCGUAAAGAGCGUGUAGGCGGCCAGAUAAGUCCGCUGUGAAAUCUCGAGGCUCAACUUCGAGCUGUCGGUGGAAACUGUCUGGCUAGAGUCCGGAAGAGGAGAAUGGAAUUCCUGGUGUAGCGGUGAAAUGCGCAGAUAUCAGGAAGAACACCCGUGGCGAAGGCGGCUCUCUGGGACGGUACUGACGCUGAGACGCGAAAGCCGUGGGGAGCGAACAGG
rnacentral:rRNA from 1 species